UGGGGCUCCAGGGUGCCCAGGCAUCAGGUGGUUCUUCUCUCCUGGCAUUUAUGCACAGCUGGCACUUCAGCAAGAACCUAAAGUCCCUCACGUCUAUUCUUCCUUUUUCCUGGGGGCAAAAUCACUUCCAGAUUGCUUCCUUUAAAUGGAGGCCAGUAAGGGGAUAGUGACACAGUAGACGCUUCUGUGCUGUAGCCCAAACACAUCUCUGCAGGAUGCCAGGGGGCUAGGGCCUGGGCACACCAGCUCCAGAGGCUCCAGGUGCUUUGCUGCAACUUCCUACAGGUGACCUUGUGUGUGCACGGUAAUAGGUGUUUGUUGGGAACAGCUAAGAGAAGUGUGUACGGGUCUGAAGAGUAUUGUGAGCCAUGUUGGGAUUUGAACUUCGUCUCUGAGAGAUGAGAAUGGGGAAGGAUUUCUAGAAUCGGCGGUGAGGGGGGCCAUGAUCAAUUGUGUGUGUCUAAAGCAUUUUCCUAUUGUCAUAUAAAGAGAACAGACUGUGGGGGAACACUGAACUUUAUAGAGAUGUUGGCUCCAAAGGGAGACAUGGGAGGGUUGUCUCUUAUGUCGCCUUUGUCAUCCUCAGAUUCUGUAACAUGGCCGAUAUUAAACAGACACUUGAUAAACAGAUGUGAGGAGGCUGCUGGGGCAUGAUGUUUAAACUUGGCUGGGGUUCUGGGAAGGGAGAACACUUGGAGAUACUAAAGCAGUCUAGCACCAAGGACACAAAUUUCAGAUUUUCAUUUACUGAAAAUAAUAGUGGGGUGACAGUCUCUGGUUUCUAUCUUAGACCUAUGAGCUGUCGGCUCUAUUCUAUUCUCCUGACCAUGUAAUCAUUUUUCUCUUGGCGCACUCAGGGACACUGUAGCUUCUUGGUGUGGCCAGUGGACGGAUUUCUUACUGAUUUGACUAUCAUCAGGCUGGAAAAGCUACAAUCUGUUUAUUUCUGACAUUUUUGUUUUCUAUUUAAAAUGGAAAGGCAGGACAGGGGUGGAAAGCACUUGUGCUACAAGUGUAAGGAGUGGAGUUUUGAUCUCAGAACCCACAGAACAAGCCAGGAGUCCCUGCCAAGACCUGUGACCCUGGCUCCAAGUGGAUGGAUGCAUGAGGAUUCCUGGGUCUUCCUGGUGUGUAGCUUAGCCAGCAGCAAGCCUUAGGUUUGUGGGGAGAGCCUGCCUUAAAGGGAAAGGCAGGUAAUGAUAGAGUGCAAAUGUCUCUUCAAACCUCUGUGCACACACAUGUGUGCACACAUUCACACAAAUAGAAAACCUAAAUAAUAACACAGAAGGGAAGGACUUUGACAUAAACUUUUCUCUUGGAUGCAGCUGGAAUUCAACCUCUUACUGUAUGGCUGCCCUUUGAGGAUCUGUGCUAGAGAGUCUGAAAAUGAGUUCUCUACCUAGGUGAGCCACUGGCUUCAGCUCCUACCUUUUGUAUUUUCAGGAUAGUUAGGACAGUCAUGACCCUGAAGCCUUGAGCACAGUUUCUACAGUGAAUCAGUCGGGUUCUUAGUUCUAAGCCUCAGAAAUAAAGUGUGGCAGAUCCAGGCGGAAAAUAGAUCUGAAUAUCUUAUUAUGGCAAACACACCCACAGCCUGAAACAGCUGGGAUUUCAGCCCAUUUUAAAGGCACAGUUCAGUGGCAUCAACAAGGGUCACAGGGCAGUGGGGACAUCACCACUGUUAAUUUCCAAACCUUUCUUAAUUCUCCAAUAGAAGUCACUGCACAAGGUAGCAAUCCCACCCUCCCCUUACCACCACCCCUGGGAACCCAUAUUCCACUCUGAACAUGAAUCUGGGUAUUCCAUUAAGUGGGAUUUUACAAUUUUAGAAUUCUAAACCUAAAUUUAGAAAUUUAGAAUCUAGGGCAUGAUUCAGAACUCUUCCUGCCUUCCUUUUGUACAUGAUACACACACACACACACACACACACACACACACACACACACAGACACACACACACGCACAAAGCAGGGUGGGAGGAUGGUGCAUAAAUGUGUGUGUGUGUGUGUGUGUGUGUGUGCAUGUGUGUGUGUGUGUGUGUGUGUGUGCUCGCGCGCGCGCGCGCGCACGAGUACAUGUAUCCAGAGGCCCACAUUGGCCGUCUUCCUUGAUUGUUGUCCAUAUUACUUUCAUGACAGGGUCUCUCACUGAAGCAGAGCUUGUGGCCUGGCUGCCUCCAUAGUGCUUAGUGCUGGGUUUACAGAUAGGUGCCACUGUGCCUGGUGUUUUUAUUGGUAAUGUUUUAUUUUAGCACUUUUAUUUUAUUUUAUUUUAUGCAUAUGGAUGUUUUGCCUGUAUGUAGUGUGUCUUUACAGCACAUGCAUGCAGUGACCACAGAAGCCAGAAAAGGAUGAUGGGUUCCUCUAUGACAUUUGGAAGCUGGCAUGUGCUGGGAAUUGAACGUGGGUCCUCUGGGAGAGCAGUCGAUGCUCUUAACCACUGAGCCGUCUCUCCAGCCCUGAACUUAUGUUCUUACGCUUGGGCGAUAGGCACUUAACUAAUUGAGCCAAAUCCCAGGCCCUAGAACUUGAUUCCUUUUCAGGGUUGAAUAACACUUCAUGUAUAUGUAUACUUGAAGUUUUUUUUUUUUUCAAUCCAAGGGAAGGAAUUUGUGAAAGCUGUUGCAUAGAUUCUACAAACAUGGCCUGGAGCCCACAUAGCCAGUGCGGAGCCCUGGCUGGUGAUCAUAGGGGAAGUAACCGAGUCUCAGCCUCUUGCUUAUAAAACAGAAAUAAAGAAUCCCGUGCUGUGCACAUUUCAGAUAAUGCACACAAAUCACUUAGCACAGACCAAAUCACCUCCAUGAAAACAGUGCUUAUGAAUACUAUUUUAUUAUUAUGGCCUGUGAAAACAUGGCUUUUGCUUCCUCCUUGUACAGAAUCAAGUGAACGGACCCCUUUCUAAAACAUCUCCUAAAAAAAAAUGAACCCAGGUUGCUGUUUUGAAUGUAUUCCCAAUCCCUGCUUGUAAAGGUCUUCUGAGGGAAAGUGAUGACUCCCCUCCUCCUGGAGACGGAAACUUCCUGGGUCCCUUUGGCCUAACAUCCUGUUGACAGAGGCUGGCUUUAAGGUUUCCUUUCCAAGUAUAAGCUUGAGUCAUGGAAACGCAGUGGUGCCAGGUGGCUGAAGGCUAUACUGAUUAGAAGGAAUAAGAUGGCAUUCCUUUUGCACCUGUGGCCAUUGAUGCUAACUAGAUCCCCAAGGAGCUGAGCCCUUGCCAUGGGAACCAAUUACAGAAAGGGAGGGUGUUAUGGUGCUGUUGAAGUAGACCCACCUGGUUUCUAGUCUGGCUUCUGCCAUUUACAGGGCAAGCACCUUGUUUGAUGGGACAGGGAGGGGAUGCCCACAAAGGAGAAGAGAGGAGGACAGCGUCCAGCAGAGCCACUGUGGGAGAGGCAAUGUGGGACAGCACUGUAGGGCUGGCACCUCUAACUCAGAUGUCUGUGGUGCACUAGCCUGUCCUUCCCAUAACUGUGCCUCUCUUACUUAGGACAUCCUGCAGUGGGAGACUUUGGUGUGUCUUAAAUUAUAUCCUGGGCAACAUAAGCCAUUUUCAUGAAGGGUAUAAUGUACGUUGAACAUAUCCCAGUUCCCCCUUCCCUCCUUCCCUCCUCUUUCACCCACUUUCUUCUUUUCUGUUUCUUCUCUUUUCCCUCUCCUUUCGUAUCAUAAAUACCUGUGUGAGUCUUUGUGUCUGUUAAACCUAGGAGUCAUAAAUGAGAGAAAGCAAGCAUCAUUUGUCUUUCUGAGACUGGUUUAAUCACUUAAUCCAAUCUUUUCUAGCUGUGCUGUUUUCCUGCAAAUGACUUAGUGUCAUUCCAUCCCAUAUGCAGGACCCGUUGUCUCCAUUCGGCCUCUGCUGUUGGUUGCUUCUCUACUUGCCUGCCAUGAAUAGCACUUUGGUGACACGCAGUGUGCUGGUAUCCCCGAGAUAUGUUGACCUGGAGUCUUUUGGGGGUAGAAUAGAUGGGUUGUGUGGAAUAUCUAAUUUUAGUUUUUGGUGUGUCUUUUAAAGUCACCCUUAGCAACUGAGGAGCUGGGCGAUUUUCCCUUCAGUAUAGUUAAGGUUUGAUAACUCUGGGCAGAGGCUCCCAAUUGGCAGGCGUAACCUUGAGAGGUGGUUCUAUCCCUGUUCCUAAAAUGUUUUAUUCUCUCCUGAGACAUUUUUUGGUUAUUGUUGUUUUGUGCAGAAACAACCUUGUUCUAUCAGAAUGACCUUCACUCAUAGUUGAGGUACCCUGAGAAUUCAGACGUGCACAUUGCAUUUGGACUUGGCUCUUGCCUUGGGGUGCAGCAGAGAACUAGCAAGCUGUUGUCAUGGGCAUCCCGGGACCACUCUAUAGUGAUUCUCUCAGGGGAGUGGUUACAUCUGCUCUGGGGGCUGCACUGAUGUGAUAAUGAUUGUAUUAAUGAUGGCCUCUCACACCCCAGCCCUCAGUUACUCUUUUAAAAUCCCUUGUGUGUCUGCCAAAUGAUGUACCCCAGCUCCAGAUGUGGACACAUUUGGACUCCGAGAGUCACUGGCUACCAGACCGCCUAUUGUGAACACAGACUUAGACAUUGCUUGACUAAGAGGCAGCCCCUUUUGGUCAGAAUCUAUGUUUUCUGAGCUGGUCCAGGGGUCCAUUUACUUCCUGACUGUGUACUUACAAAGGAGGGAGCUCGCAGUAGCUCCUACUGACUUAGUGUUGUUGUUUUUGAUGUGGUUGCAUGAAGGCUACUUGAUGGAUUCUCUGCUUCCACCCCUCUCUUCCUCUGCAACUCCAAGCAGGAGCAGGGCACUGCGCAUGCCUGGUAGGCAAUGGGGCACACAGGUGGCUCAUUGCCUUAUGCCCUAGGGCUGCAGUAAAUUGCUAUUAUCUGGUUUCCAGCCUCUGGCAGAGAUGGGGAGGGGAGGCCGAGAAAGUGACAUUUCUGUAAAUAACCACACCUGGUUCUGAGAGCGGUUGGAUUGGCAUGUCCCUGUAGCCUCAUCAGUUUCCAUCAACCUUUUGCAGGGAGAGCCCCAGGGGAGAGACUGUCUUCACACCCUUAUGAUUAUUUAUAGCCACCUUAUCUUGUCCACACUCAGGGGGUUCUGGUUCAAUUGGCAGCAGCCUCCUUCCAUGUGGGCUUAGAGUCUUCCAGGCCCAGUGGAAUAUAUUACUUAGCCCUGCACUAGACAGACUAGAGGGCGUAACAGCCAUUGAGUCACAGUGAGGAAAGGAGGAAGUGGACGAGGAGACUUGGGUAUGAGGCCUGAACUCUCAGCUUUGUGUAUCUGUCUCUCAGGGCCAAUUAGCUGUCCAGUGUCCGGGUUCAAUGACCGUGCUUUACAAGCAAAUGGCCUGGACUCAUUACACUCUGACGACUGUUUACUUGAAGCUUCUAUCUCAGUUUUUCAUCUGUAAAAUGGGAUAAUGCUCCCUCUUGGGGUUAUUGUGAAGUUGGAAUGCAAGAGAUCUAGAAGUCCUAUGUCCAAAGAGGGUUUGACAGUUAAAGUUUAUUAUUAACUUGGCCGUAUUUAGAAUCAACACAGAAGCAUACCUUUGGGCAGUUCAUGAGCAUGUCUCCAGAAAUAUUUAACUGAGGUGGGGUGGGAGAGCCCAUCCUUAAUUUAGGUGGCAUUGACCUGUUGUGGGAUUUUCAUCAGAGAAGACUGCUCAGACAUUGGUUUAAGCCAAUGAAAGUCUUUAUUAGCCUGCCUGUGACUACGCUGGAUGUUCAGGAUCCACGUGUACAACUGAGCCCUUCUCAGGGUGAGCUUUUAAGCACAAAAACCAUGUCCUGGGUUGACAUUCUUCAGUUAACAAGAGCAGUCAGCCAGAAGCGGAACUACAGAAGCCAAAAAGAAAGGUUGUGCAGUCUCUUUUUAUACUCGUGGAACUAUUCUGAAGAGGAUAGAUCUUGUCUCAUUCUCAACAUAAGUAUAUUAGUUACUGUUUUCAAGUUGUUGAGACAAAAAUACCGGACAAAGAGACUUAACCGAAAGGCUUAUUUUGGCUUACAGUUGGAGGGUCCAGUGCAGCAGGUGGAGAGGUUUUGGCCACUGGGGUAUGAAGCAGCCGCUCGUACAACUCCUGCAGUCAGGAAGCAGAGGUGGAUGGAGCCUGGUCUUCAGGUUGAUAUCUCUCUUUUAGUCAUGCUGGGAUUGCAGCCCAUGGAAUGAUGCCAGCCACAUUUAGGGUGGAUCUUCCCACUUAAUUAACUUAAUUUAUCUAAUAUAUAGUAACACAAUUUAUAGAAUAUCUUAUGGGCAUACCCAGAGGCUUGGUUAGGUGGCUCUAGGUUCUGUCAAGCUGACUGACAAUCGGUGUUAACCCCCACAAUAGGACUGUGUCCUUAUGGUGUCAGGGAGCCAUCUUUUCAUAAAGUGGGACUUCCUGUAGUGCGUUGGUCUGAUUCCAAUGCAGUUAUUUUUGUACGCGUGCACUGCAGGCACUGUCACAAGCUUCCACCAGCCGGAAUGUAAUGUUUGGUUGUCUCUGUCACUGAUGUUGAAGCCAGUGAUCAUCUUCACCCAGAUUCAUUAUUUCCUUCGGGGUUUUCAGAAGCAGUUUUCCAAUGCUCCCACCCUUACUUGCUCCGGGGUCUCUCUCAAUGGGGAAAUUAUUUCACUAUCAACCUUUUGGUUGCUUUAUGAUAAAGAAAAACAGGUCCAGUAGUGGUGGCACAUGCCUUUAAUCCCAGCACUCUGGACACAGAGUCAGGAGGAUCUCGGAGUUUAAAGCCAUCCUGGUCUGCAGAGAGAGUUUCUAGAUAGCUAGGGCAACGUAAAGAACCCUGACAGGAAGACAAAAAACAGAAACAAACAACAAAAGAAAUAAAAGAGAAACCAGUGGCAUGCUUUUUUUGCAUUUAACGAAGAGUGUUCUGGUUGUCUCAUAUAUUCUGGAGGUGGCCAGCAGGUUGCCUUGUUUUAUAUUUUCAUAAGGAACUCAUGGAUACAGACGUAGUCAAGUGUUUCAAAUCUGUUCGCUCUUACUGUUGAAACUCAGAUUUGACUUUCUCACGCCUGACAUGAGGACAACUUUUCUCAUCUGCUCCCUAAGUUCUGGCAUGACCACAACCUCAAUUGUCACAGAUAAGUCCCUCGCUUUCUGGAAAGAAAACCUGUCCACGUUUGGAAUGGACCACUUAAGAGACAAUAUGUUUAUACUGGUAUUUUCAGUUCAAAUUACAAUUAUAGGACUUAAAAAACUUUAAUUUGAUUUUGAAUCUUUUGCUUUUAUGCCAAAGAUUUUGAUGUUUGUUUUGAGACAUGGUUCCACUUUGGAGCUGUGGCUGGCUGGAAAGCACUAUGUUGAUCCAACUGGCCUCAAACUCACAGAGAUUCACCUGCCUCUGCCUCCUGAGUGCUGGAUUAAAGGUGGGUGUCAUCUCUCUAGGGAAAAUCUUAUUUUUUUUUCUUUUUUCUUUUCGGGGUUGGGGACCGAACCCAGGGCCUUGCGCUUGCUAGGCAAGCGCUCUACCACUGAGCUAAAUCCCCAACCCAAAAAUCUUAUUUUUAAACAAUACUGUAAUUGCUUCUAUGCUUUAUUAUCUUCUUGGAACACGCAAACACACACAUGUACUUAUAUACUUACACACACAUACACAUACACACAUGGAUACGUACACACAUGUGCUCCUUUGCAUAUGGUAUGCCUGUGUGUUUGCGCAUCGACAGUAAAAUUGGUUACCGGAAAUAGCCACUUUUAUUUUUCUUGGCAGGAUUUUUCUCUGUAUCUCUGACUGUCUGGAAAUUCACUCUGCAGACCUGGCUAGCCUCAAACUCAACAAUCCACCUGCCUCUGUCUCCUGAGUGCUGGGAUUAAAGGCCUGUGCCACCAUGCCUGACAAGACAUAGCUUUCAGUGACUUCACACGCUUCUCACCAGAGCUACACAGCUGAGUUAGUGUGGCUCGAAGCAGUUACAGCAGCCUAUCUCUGCAUCGUUAAGCCAUCAUCUCGAUGCAGUUAAACUUAUUUUAUUUUGCCCUUGAUUUAAAGAAUUGCCUUUUUCAUCUGACUUAACAUUAUUUGUAAUUGCCUCAAACAUCCCUAUGGUUCCCAAAACAAAUCUAGAGAGCAAAGUAUUAGCCAGAGAAAUAUAGAUUCUAUCCCAAAUUCAUCGUUUUAAUCUUUACCUUUAGCUGACAAUUAUUUAUUUUAGAGCUUGUCUUUCCAUUGCAGAACCAUACAGGUGCCCCCUCCCCCUCAGGUCAGUGAAUACUUGCUGUAUGUAAUGGAGCCCAUCUUGCUUAUUCUCCUGAUCCUGGAUUCGUAGCCAUGUGCAGACAUGCUCUGCACUCUCUCCUGAAAGUGCAUGCACAGUAUUCUGUGAAUUCUUAUUUUCUGAGAAACUGGGUGUUAGGACUUAAAUAGACAGAUCUGGGAGUGGACACGGUCAGCUCAAAAAUAGGGCUGCACUGAUGUAUGGAUAGAUUCUGAGAAUAUUGGCAUUGGGACAAUACUAAACCUCCAAUACAGGAAUGAGGAUGUCCCCGCAUCUGUGUAAGUCUCACUUAAGAUCUGUGGAAAGAGGAACGCCAGUGUGUAUCUGCUCUCUUUCUUCCCUCUUUUUCACUUAGGCUAAGACCCCAGGCAUGGGGUGCUGCAUCUUUCCUCUCAGUCAAGCCUCUCUGGAAACGCCCUCAUGGACACACAAAGAAGUGUGUUUCCUAGGUAGCUCCAAACCUUGUCAAGGUGACCACGAAGACUAACAGUCUCAGCAGCUGAGACGCUGUACAGUUGCAUUGUGGGUGUUCAUGGAUGGUUAAAUCUGCCUCUCAAUAUUUUCUAGUUGGUGGUUGCUCUUAUGAAUGACGCUUUCCAGUGUACUUUAUGGUUGCUUAUGACAACUGUGGAAAUGUGAUGACUAUUUGUACACUGACCUUGGUCCUGAAUUUCCUCUUCUGUUUAGUGGAUGUAGGUGUUCUAUGUGCACUGCCAUUUGCGUCUUGCUCUCUAACCUUUGUGCCUUUGUUUUCCUCACUGGACAGUCUACGACCUUCAGUUCAAUGCAGAAUAGAGGGAUAAGUGCUGGUUUCCUUCACUGACUCCUCAUCUUAGAGGAGCCUUCUACCGCAUUUAUCUCAAGUGUGACGUUUUUGUGGUUACUCUUUAGCAGACCGUGGUGGCUAUACAAGGGCCCCUUACCAGUUUCCAGCUGUGGGGAAACAUAGUGAUGACAGCUCUGAAGUUGUGUCUUCAAACCCACCACCAUGUCUGCACUGAAGCCGCUCUUCCCACAGUGUCUUCCAGCACAUGCUCACAGACACGGGAGUCAUCUGUCCUGCCACAUAGACUUGAGGAUUCCCUCGUUACUACGGUUGGCCACUAAGACUGCAUUGUGGUUUCAAACUGCUCCAUACCAACCACUCUCUCUUCUUCCCUUUGCUGGGACACAUUUGCUCUGUGUCCUGACAGCUCAUUUGUCCUGAAGCUUUUUUGCUGUUUUUUUUUUUUUGAAGGAGCAAUUCUCCUAAUAAUGCAUGGUGGUUUGAAUGAGAAUGGCUCCCAACGGGCUCAUAUAUGUGAAUACGUGGCCCUCAAUUGGUGGAACUGUUUGGGAAGGUCUAGGAGGUGUGGCCUUGUUGGAGGAGGUGUGUCACUGGGGGUGGGCUUUGAGGUUUUAAAAGCCCAAGCCAUUCUGUUAUUGUUUUCUGCCUCAUUCCUGUGGAUGAGGAUGUGAGCUCUCAAUGCUUGCUCUAGUGCCAUGCCUACAUGCCUGCUGCCAUACUCCCUGAAAUGAUAAUCAUGGACUCUAGCCCUCUGAGCCCCAAAUUAAAUAUACUUUUAAAGUAAGUUGCCUGUGUCUUACCAUAGCAAUAAAAGAGUAACUAAGACAUAA
ensembl:lncRNA